rnacentral:rRNA from 1 species
GGGGAAUAUUGCGCAAUGGACGAAAGUCUGACGCAGCGACGCCGCGUGAGGGAUGAAGGCCUUCGGGUUGUAAACCUCUGUCAGGAGGGAAGAACCGCCAUGGUAGUAACUGCCCAUGGUCUGACGGUACCUCCAAAGGAAGCACCGGCUAACUCCGUGCCAGCAGCCGCGGUAAUACGGAGGGUGCAAGCGUUAAUCGGAAUCACUGGGCGUAAAGCGCGCGUAGGCGGCUUUGUAAGUCAGAGGUGAAAGCCCACGGCUCAACCGUGGAACUGCCUUUGAUACUGCAAGGCUACGAGUUUGUGAGAGGAUAGUGGAAUUCCUGGUGUAGGAGUGAAAUCCGUAGAGAUCAGGAGGAACAUCAGUGGCGAAGGCGACUGUCUGGCACAACACUGACGCUGAGGUGCGAAAGCGUGGGUAUCAAAC